CCUACGGGGCGCAGCAGUGAGGAAUAUUGGUCAAUGGGCGCGAGCCUGAACCAGCCAAGUCGCGUGAGGGAGGACGGCCCUACGGGUUGUAAACCUCUUUUGCCGGGGAGCAACGGGCGUCACGUGUGGCGCCACUGAGAGUACCCGGAGAAAAAGCAUCGGCUAACUCCGUGCCAGCAGCCGCGGUAAUACGGAUGAUGCGAGCGUUAUCCGGAUUUAUUGGGUUUAAAGGGUGCGUAGGCGGAUCGUUAAGUCAGUGGUCAAAUUGCGGGGCUCAACCCCUUCCCGCCAUUGAAACUGGCGUUCUUGAGUGGAAGAGAAGUAUGCGGAAUGCGUGGUGUAGCGGUGAAAUGCAUAGAUAUCACGCAGAACCCCGAUUGCGAAGGCAGCAUGCCGGCUUCCGACUGACGCUGAAGCACGAAAGCGUGGGGAUCGAACAGGAUUAGAUACCCCUGUAGUC
rnacentral:rRNA from 1 species